rnacentral:rRNA from 1 species
UACGGACGGGGCGAGCGUUGUUCGGAAUCAUUGGGCGUAAAGGGCGCGUAGGUGGUGCUGUAUGUCUCCCGUGAAAGCCCACGGCUCAACCGUGGUGUGUCGGGAGAAACUGCAGGACUUGAGGCUGGGAGGGGCUGGUGGAAUUCCCUGUGUAGCGGUGAAAUGCGUAGAGAUGGGGGAGAACACUCGUGGCGAAGGCGGCCAGCUAGACCAGUUCUGACACUGAGGCGCGACAGCGUGGGGAGCAAACAGG